rnacentral:rRNA from 1 species
GCCGAUCAGGUAGUUGGGUGGGGGUAAUGGCCCACCAAGCCUAUAACCGGUGCGGGCUCUGAGAGGAGGAGCCCGGAGAUGGGCACUGAGACAAGGGCCCAGGUCCUAUGGGGCGCAGCAGGCGCGAAACCUCCGCAAUGGGCGAAAGCCCGACGGGGUUAGUCCGAGUGGUCCCUGCUGAAGGNNNCNUUUGCNNNCUGUAAAAAGNNNNGCGAAUAAGGGGUGGGCAAGUUUGGUGUCAGCCGCCGCGGUAAUACCAGCACCCCGAGUGGUCGGGACGAUUAUUGGGCCUAAAGCAUCCGUAGCCGGCUUAGCAAGUCUUCCGUUAAAUCCAACGGCUUAACCGUUGUGCUGCGGAGGAUACUGCUAAGCUAGGGGGCGGGAGAGGCGAGGGGUAUUCCCAGGGUAGGGGUAAAAUCCGUUGAUCCUGGGAGGACCACCAGUGGCGAAGGCGCCUCGCUAGAACGCGCCCGACGGUGAGGGAUGAAAGCUGGGGGAGCGAACCGGAUUAGAUACCCGGGUAGUCCCAGCCGUAAACGAU